rnacentral:rRNA from 1 species
UACGUAGGGGGCAAGCGUUGUCCGGAAUCAUUGGGCGUAAAGCGCACGUAGGCGGAUGUGUCAGUCAGGGGUGAAAUCCCGGGGCUCAACCUCGGAACUGCCUUUGAUACAGCACGUCUUGAGUCCGAUAGAGGUGGGUGGAAUUCCUAGUGUAGAGGUGAAAUUCGUAGAUAUUAGGAAGAACACCGGUGGCGAAGGCGGCCCACUGGAUCGGUACUGACGCUGAGGUGCGAAAGCGUGGGGAGCAAACAGG